UCUCAAUCUGGAAAGGGAAAAAAAGAAGCCAGUGAAACUGGUUUUCCAUGGCCUAUGAUAACGCAUUUAUUUAUUUAUACCCCUACCUUUCCCCAAAAACACUUCUAGACAUUUACAGGGAUACACAGAACAAUGACGAUACAUUCGAAGUAGAUGGAAAAGAUAAAGGAAAAGUAAGAACAUCCUGACAUGAAGUCAGCACUGAGACCUACCGUGAACUUCCAAACCCUUGCUGUACAUAUGGUGACUUCUCAGCCCUCAAAGACCGGAGGAGGAUUUCACAAUGUGAUGGGAGUGAGCUACUGGGCCGGGCCCUCAUCAGAGGCCCCUCAGCUGUGCUGCUGUCAUGAAAGAAACAGAAAUGAAAUAUUUCCAUUUCUAAGGAGUGAUGUCAAAAACGAGUACUACCGCAUAAACGAUUUUCUGAAGGAAUUUCUACUGCCAGCCAGAAGUCUUUGCACUAAGAAAAGACAUGCAUUAAAUUCACAA